ACAGCAGCAGCCGCGGGAAUACAGAGGAUGCAAGCGUUAUCCGGAAUGAUUGGGCGUAAAGCGUCUGUAGGUGGCUUUUCAAGUCCGCCAUCAAAUCCCAGGGCUCAACCCUGGACAGGCGGUGGAAAAUACCAAGCUGGAGUACGGUAGGGGCAGAGGGAAUUUCCGGUGGAGCGGUGAAAUGCGUUGAGAUUGGAAAGAACACCAACAGCGAAAGCACUCUGCUGGGACGACACUGACACUAAGAGACGAAAGCUAGGGGAGCAAAUGGGAUUAGAUACCCCCGUAGUCCCUGUCUCUUAUAC
rnacentral:rRNA from 1 species